UAUAAGCUGCAAUGUACGUAUUAAUUUUAGUUUAACCUCUAACAUAUGAAUAGGGAGUUUUACAUCGAAACUAUAAUGUCGUGCCUCGAUAGUGUGGAAGACAGGAAGGUUUCUGCAAACACCCACUUUGCGAAGUGGUGGUUUAAACUUUUUAUGAAAAUACGGCAAUUGUGGCUGAUAA
rnacentral:other from 1 species